CCUACGGGAGGCUGCAGUGGGGAAUAUUGGACAAUGGGGGAAACCCUGAUCCAGCGACGCCGCGUGGGUGAAGAAGGCCUGCGGGUUGUAAAGCCCUUUCGGUUGGGAAGAAAAGUUGCGACCUAACACGUCGCGACCUUGACGUAACCAACUAAAGAAGCACCGGCUAACUCUGUGCCAGCAGCCGCGGUAAUACAGAGGGUGCGAGCGUUAAUCGGAAUUACUGGACGUAAAGUGGCAGUUCGGGUGUGAAAUCCCCGGGCUCAACCUGGGAACUGCAUUCGAGACUGCUUUGCUAGAGUAUGGGAGAGGGAAGUGGAAUUUCCGGUGUAGCGGUGAAAUGCGUAGAUAUCGGAAGGAACAUCAGUGGCGAAAGCGACUUCCUGGACCAAUACUGACGCUCAUGUGCGAAAGCGUGGGGAGCAAACAGGAUUAGAUACCCCAGUAGUC
rnacentral:rRNA from 1 species